AUGAAGCUGUCAAAAUGUGGAAGAAGAAGCUAUAGAAACGAUUCAGAACAAAAUUUACCGAAAAUUUUAGGUAGAUCCAAGAAGGCUAUUUUUACCCAAGUGAUUGAUCGUGUCUGGAAGAAAAUGAAAGGAUGGAAGGAAAAGUUUCUUUCUCGGGCUGGUAAAGAAGUCUUCAUAAAAUUAGUUGCUCAAGCCAUACCCACGUAUGUCAUGAGUUGCUUCAGGUUUCCUGAAGGGUGCUGCAACGAGAUUGAAUCUCUCUAG